CAAAAACAUGUCUUUUUGAGUAUAAUUUAAAGUCUGGCCUGCCCAAUGAUUUAUUUAAUGGCCGCGGUAAACUGACCGUGCAAAGGUAGCAUAAUCACUAGUUUUUUAAUUGAAAGCUUGAAUGAAAGGUUUGAUGAAGAAAUAACUGUCUCAACUUAAAUUUUUUAGAAUUUUAUUAUUUUGUAAAAAGGCUAAAAUUGUUAUGAAAGACGAGAAGACCCUAUAGAGUUUUAUAAUUUAAACAGAGAGGGUAAUUAGUAUAAAUUUCUUUAUUUGUUUAAAUUAUUUGGUUGGGGUGAUUGAAAUAAUUUAAUAAACUUUUUUUGCUGGAAAACAUAGAUUUAUGAAUAGUUGAUCCUUUUAAAAGAUUAUAAGAAAAAAUUACCUUAGGGAUAACAGCGUUAUUUUUC
rnacentral:rRNA from 1 species